UGCAAGUCGAGCGGACUUGAAGAGAAGCUUGCUUCUCUGAUGGUUAGCGGCGGACGGGUGAGUAACACGUAGGCAACCUGCCCUCAAGCUUGGGACAACUACCGGAAACGGUAGCUAAUACCGAAUAGUUGUUUUCUUCUCCUGAAGGAAACUGGAAAGACGGAGCAAUCUGUCACUUGGGGAUGGGCCUGCGGCGCAUUAGCUAGUUGGUGGGGUAACGGCUCACCAAGGCGACGAUGCGUAGCCGACCUGAGAGGGUGAUCGGCCACACUGGGACUGAGACACGGCCCAGACUCCUACGGGAGGCAGCAGUAGGGAAUCUUCCGCAAUGGGCGAAAGCCUGACGGAGCAAUGCCGCGUGAGUGAUGAAGGUUUUCGGAUCGUAAAGCUCUGUUGCCAGGGAAGAACGCUUGGGAGAGUAACUGCUCUCAAGGUGACGGUACCUGAGAAGAAAGCCCCGGCUAACUACGUGCCAGCAGCCGCGGUAAUACGUAGGGGGCAAGCGUUGUCCGGAAUUAUUGGGCGUAAAGCGCGCGCAGGCGGUCAUUUAAGUCUGGUGUUUAAUCCCGGGGCUCAACCCCGGAUCGCACUGGAAACUGGGUGACUUGAGUGCAGAAGAGGAGAGUGGAAUUCCACGUGUAGCGGUGAAAUGCGUAGAUAUGUGGAGGAACACCAGUGGCGAAGGCGACUCUCUGGGCUGUAACUGACGCUGAGGCGCGAAAGCGUGGGGA
rnacentral:rRNA from 1 species